rnacentral:rRNA from 1 species
AACGAACGCUGGCGGCAUGCCUAACACAUGCAAGUCGAACGAGACCUUCGGGUCUAGUGGCGCACGGGUGCGUAACGCGUGGGAACUUGCCCUUAGGUUCGGAAUAACUCCCCGAAAGGGGUGCUAAUACCGGAUAAUGUCUUCGGACCAAAGAUUUAUUGCCUUUGGAUGGGCCCGCGUUGGAUUAGCUAGUUGGUAGGGUAAAAGCCUACCAAGGCGACGAUCCGUAGCUGGUCUGAGAGGAUGAUUAGCCACACUGGGACUGAGACACGGCCCAGACUCCUACGGGAGGCAGCAGUGGGGAAUAUUGGACAAUGGGCGAAAGCCUGAUCCAGCAAUGCCGCGUGAGUGAUGAAGGCCUUAGGGUUGUAAAUCUCUUUUACCCGGGAUGAUAAUGACAGUACCGGGAGAAUAAGCUCCGGCUAACUCCGUG